rnacentral:rRNA from 1 species
GUGUCAGCCGCCGCGGUAAGACGGAGGUGGCGAACGCUGCUCGGAAUCACUGGGCUUAAAGGGCGUGUAGGCGGUCGAUCAAGUCGGGUGUGAAAUCCCUCGGCUCAACCGAGGAACUGCAUUCGAUACUGGUCGACUCGAGUGCGGGAGGGGUGAGUGGAACUCCAGGUGUAGCGGUGAAAUGCGUAGAUAUCUGGAGGAACGCCGGUGGCGAAAGCGACUCACUGGCCCGCAACUGACGCUGAGGCGCGAAAGCUAGGGGAGCGAACGGGAUUAGAUACCCCGGUAGUCCUAGCCCUAAACGAUGAGCACUUGGCUGUGGCCAAGACCACUCGGUCACAGCCGGAGCGAAAGUGAUAAGUGCUCCGCCUGGGGAGUACGGUCGCAAGGCUGAAACUUAAAUGAAUUGACGGGG